rnacentral:lncRNA from 1 species
UAACUGAAUAGCUUGGACCGGCGGGAACCCACACGGGUCACCCGCAAAUUGAUUGGUAUUCUUAGCAGAGAAGGUAACGGGGAAAACGAGUAGAAGUUUAAUUGAAACUCGAAAGCGACCCUCCAAUUUUGUGGACUCUCUUCUCUGGUCAAUAUUACUUGUUGUCUUCAUCCUAGUUUAUUCAUUUAUUUAUCAACGUUUCUUGCACUACUUAAGUUAUCACACACAGUACCAGAAGUUUCUUCGGGAAUCUCUAGUCAAUAAUCCAUUUUUCUAUGUGACUUUCACUGCAAUUCAUUGUUUGAGUUCAACAAUUAAAGAAUCGUGUCGAUUGCUGUUAAUUAUAGCAUGAAUUAAACCGGGUUUCGGGAAAUUAAGGAGAGAGAAUCAAGAUAUGAUGAUAAAUUUUCAAGGUCUUUCAAAGCAGAAAUCUCCCCAGGUACUGCCUCUU